rnacentral:tRNA from 30 species
GGCGGAUGUAGCCAAGUGGAUCAAGGCAGUGGAUUUGUGAAU